UACGUAGGGUGCGAGCGUUAAUCGGAAUUACUGGGCGUAAAGCGUGCGCAGGCGGUUAUAUAAGACAGAGGUGAAAUCCCCGGGCUCAACCUGGGAACUGCCUUUGUGACUGUAUAGCUUGAGUGCGGCAGAGGGGGAUGGAAUUCCGCGUGUAGCAGUGAAAUGCGUAGAUAUUGGGAGGAACACCAGUGGCGAAGGCGGCUACCUGGACCGGAACUGACGCUGAUGCGCGAAAGCGUGGGUAGCAAACAGG
rnacentral:rRNA from 1 species